rnacentral:rRNA from 1 species
UACGUAGGGGGCAAGCGUUGUCCGGAAUCAUUGGGCGUAAAGAGCGCGUAGGCGGCCCUGUAAGUCCGCUGUGAAAGUCAAGGGCUCAACCCUUGAAUGCCGGUGGAUACUGCAGGGCUAGAGUCCGGAAGAGGCGAGUGGAAUUCCUGGUGUAGCGGUGAAAUGCGCAGAUAUCAGGAGGAACACCUGUGGCGAAAGCGGCGCACUGGACCACAACUGACGCUGAGGCGCGAAAGCUAGGGGAGCAAACAGG